rnacentral:rRNA from 1 species
AUGGAAGAAGAGGAGGCAGAGUUCGGUAAGCUACAAGGCAUACCGAUGAGGUUCACGUUUCAACAGUUAGAAGUGGCAACCGAGCAGUUCAAAGACAAGCUUGGGGAAGGAGGAUUUGGUUCUGUUUUCAAGGGACGGCUAGGUGAGGAAAGGAUUGCGGCAAAACGCUUGGAUCGAGCUGGUCAAGGAAAGAGAGAAUUCUUAGCAGAGGUUCAGACAAUUGGCAGCAUUCAUCAUAUCAAUCUGGUGAGACUGUUUUGUUUCUGUGCAGAGAAAACCCAUAGGCUCUUGGUUUAUGAGUAUAUGCCAAAAGGAUCCUUGGACAAGUGGAUCUAUUGUCGACAUGACAACACUGGUCCUCCGUUAGAAUGGAGAGUGCGAUGCAAGAUUAUCACGAACAUAGCUAAGGGUCCCUCUUAUCUUCAUGAGGACUGCAUGAAGAGAAUUGCUCAUUUGGAUAUCAAACCACAAAAUAUUCUCAUAGAUGAGGACUUCAAUGCUAAACUUUCUGAUUUUGGUUUGUGCAAGCUCAUGGAUAGGGACAUGAGCCAAGUGGUUACUAGAAUGAGAGGCACACCUGGAUAUUUAGCUCCUGAAUGGUUGAGAUCACAAAUCACGGAGAAGGCCGAUAUCUAUAGCUUUGGCCUGGUGGUCAUGGAAAUUGUGAGCGGAAGAAAGAACCUUGACACUUCCCGGUCCGAAGAGAGCAUCCAUCUUAUUACCCUAUUGGAAGAAAAGGUGAAGAACAAUCAGUUGGUAGAUUUGAUUGACAAGAACAGUAAUGACAUGCAAGCACACGAGCAGGAUGUAAUUCAGAUGAUGAAGCUAGCAAUGUGGUGUUUGCAGAUCGAUUGCAAAAGAAGGCCUAAAAUGUCCGAGGUAGUCAAGGUCUUGGAAGGUACCAUGGAUGCAGAGAGCAAUAUAGAUCACAACUUUGUUGCAACAAACCAAGCAAAUUUUGGCAUUGCUGGUAAUGUGACCUCCUCGGCUCCACCUCUAGCCUCACAUCUAUCAGGCCCCAGGUGA